rnacentral:tRNA from 1 species
GAAUAGCUCAGUGGGUAAGAGCGUCGGCCUCAUAAACCGAAGGUCGUGAGUUCAAAUCUCACUUC